rnacentral:hammerhead_ribozyme from 1 species
AUCUAGCUGACGAGUUCCAAAUAGGACGAAUAACGCAUCCUUGAU